GGUAGCUCAAUGGCAGAACAUCUGCUUUGAAUGCAGAAGCUGCCAAGUUUAAUCCCUGGCAUCUCCA